UACGUGGGUGUGAAGGAAGGACUUCCUCCCUCUCUGACACUUUCUAUGCCGAGGGGGCCUUUCUCAGGCUGCCUUCCUUCCUUCAACCCAGCAGGCAGCCGCUCUGAGACUUGAGAUGCAGAUGCCCAGCACAAGGCCUGGUGCCCAGCAGCAGUACGAAUAGAACCACGCAAAUCCAGUCCUCAGCACCUCGUGUACUCCCCUAGUCCCUCCUGGAAGAAUACAGCACCUUCUCAGGCUUAUACUCUGCAGAAUUUUUACUUUUUCAGAACAAGAGUGGCCUCGGAGUGGACGGUGCAGUUGAGAAAACCAACCCGGAAUAGAAAAUCUCCCACGUCAGUCCAGCAUGGGUGUGAGAGUUGGCCAAGGUGGAAGGCUGUGCAGAGCAUGACAAACAAACGGGUCACACCCAGCAUGCACCUUCGUGAUCUAGCUUGGUCAAAGACUUCUGAAGGCCUAGAAGUGGCAAGGAAGUCCCACUGGCUUAUGCUCCACCACAGCCCCCUAAAGCCACCUCCCCUGUCUGCCGUGGAUGUGGCUGUGAGAGUAGCCAGGCAGGCAGGCAAGACCCAUGAGCCACAGAACACCCAGAGAAGACAGAAGACGGCCUCUCCAGGAAGAGGAGUGUAUUGUGCCUCUAAAUUCCAAGAACUGGAGAAGGGAGAGACAAUAAGCAUCUUUAUUAUCCAAAUUCUAGGGGAAAUGGCUCUGCAUAACAGCAGAACCUACUAGCUGCCAGGGUGGAUGAGAAGUCACUCCGGAGGGUGGCCUCCAUGCUGGAUCUGCACAAGGGCUCUGAGAGUCUGGCGCCUGGUGGAUGUCGGGCUGAGUCCAGUCUGCAGGGAAGACAGCUGGCUGGUCCUGGAGCUCCCAGGAGGAGGCCUGGCCACAGGUGCCCCCUGUAUACAAUUGUGAAGGGAAAGCCUUCCUCCCAGGUAUGAAAAUGACCAAGUGUCCCCGGCUUCAUCGGGGCAAGCAGCCGGCCACAGGGUCCGGCCGGGGAGGCACUGGCACAAAGUUCAUGGGGCAGAGCAGCAGCGGGCACAUCUUCUCGUGCUCCUUCAGUGCCUCUGUCAGGUGCUUCAGCUCCUCCGUCAGCUUCCCGAUCUCUCUCCGCAGCAUGGUGUUUUCUUGCUCCAGGCACUCAUAUUCCUGGGGGAGACAGAAGGGGCAAAAUCAUUUCUGAUGCGGUGUUCUCUUCCUCCGUCCUCCUGUGCCGCGCUGCUCGCCUCUUGCCCAUGAAAGCUGUCUUAUUACGCAUGUCCCCUCCACCGCUCAGAUAUGCAGAUAUUUGUCUAUUUGAUGAGUGUCUCUCCCCUCCCACUGGGAGAAACAAUUUAUUGAGGUAUAACUUACAUAAAAUAAAAUGUAUCUAUUUUAA